rnacentral:lncRNA from 1 species
GGCACCUGUCGGCAGUCAGCUGAGCACAGACUCACCUGAGGAGCAGCAGAUGGAGUCCGGGCAGCUUUCAGCUGCAGAAGAACGCAGGAAUGAAUUGGAGGAAGGGGGCGUGGCCUGUUCCGUGAUAGUGUGUGACAUCAAACCAAAAGUUCCAGGUGUGAAGGAUAGAAAGAACGACCCCUGGUCAUGUGACAGCUCUGCAUCUUCCUCCGACAGUGAGGACGAUGAUAAAAACAAGAAGAAGAAGAAGAAAAAGCUGAAGAAGAAAAGAAGCAAGAAGUUCAGCUCAUCUUCCUCAUCAUCAUCAUCAUCAUCAUCAUCAUCAUCUUCCUCCUCUUCAUCCUCAGAAAGUGACAGCAGUGAGGAUGAAAAGAAGAAAAAAAAGAAAAUGAAAAUCAGCGAAACGGCAGAGCUGGGGAUUCUAGCAGAAACAGGUCUGGAGGGAAAUACUGAAUUAACUCCUGCAGGAGAAACUAAAGGAGACGAGGAGAAGAAAAAGAAGAAAGACAAAGAUGCAGCUGCAAUCAGUUCAGACAGCGAGAAUGAAAAGAAGAAGAAAAAGAAGAAGAAGAAGAAGAAAAAUAAAAAGAAGCAGAAGAAGGAUAAGAAAAAGAAGAAGAAGAUGAAGAAGGUAUGA